CUGAACCAGCCAAGUAGCGUGAAGGAUGACUGCCCUAUGGGUUGUAAACUUCUUUUAUAUGGGAAUAAAGUUUUCCACGUGUGGAAUUUUGUAUGUACCAUAUGAAUAAGGAUCGGCUAACUCCGUGCCAGCAGCCGCGGUAAUUGA
rnacentral:rRNA from 1 species